UGGGGAAUAUUGCACAAUGGGCGCAAGCCUGAUGCAGCAACGCCGCGUGAGUGAAGAAGGCCUUCGGGUCGUAAAGCUCUGUCCUGUGGGACGAAAAAAAUGACGGUACCACAGGAGGAAGCCCCGGCUAACUACGUGCCAGCAGCCGCGGUAAUACGUAGGGGGCAAGCGUUAUCCGGAAUCACUGGGCGUAAAGGGUGCGUAGGUGGUCCAUCAAGUCAGAAGUGAAAGGCAGUGGCUUAACCACUGUAAGCUUUUGAAACUGACGGACUUGAGUGCAGGAGAGGUAAGUGGAAUUCCUAGUGUAGCGGUGAAAUGCGUAGAUAUUAGGAGGAACACCAGUGGCGAAGGCGACUUACUGGACUGUUACUGACACUGAGGCACGAAAGCGUGGGGAGCAAACAGG
rnacentral:rRNA from 1 species